rnacentral:misc_RNA from 1 species
CUGCGGAAGGAUCAUUAUAGAAAAUGACGUGAACUCUUAACGGAGUUCUCUCAAAGUGUUGGAGGGGAAGGCCUGCGCUUAAUUGCGCGGCUGUUUUUAAUCUCCUCCGCCUUUGAUACACACAUUGGAGUUUCUACUUUUUUGUUCUCUUUGGGAGGGUUCUGCUCUCCCAGAGGUAAACACAAACAAUCUUUUAUUAUACUAUUAACACAGUCAAAUGAAUUUUAAAAACAAAAUAUUCAAAACUUUCAACAACGGAUCUCUUGGUUCUCGCAUCGAUGAAGAACGCAGCGAACUGCGAUACGUAAUGUGAAUUGCAGAAUUCCGUGAAUCAUCGAAUCUUUGAACGCACAUUGCGCCCCUUGGUAUUCCGGGGGGCAUGCCUGUUUGAGCGUCAUUUCCCUCUCAAACUUUACGUUUGGUAGUGAGCGAUACUCUACUCUGGAGUUUGCUUGAAAAUGGGAGGCCAUAGGCGGAGCUUAGUUUGCGACUGUGCCGAGAGGCAUGGGAGCGGCCUAGCCACGAAAAGUCGUAUUAGGUUUUACCGACUCGGCGGAAUAGUGGAGAGGUUUCUUUUUUUUUUAUUCUAAGGUAAGCCGUCUGGCUAGACAAAAUUCUCAAAGUUUGACCUCAAAUCAGGUAG